UACAUAGGGGGCAAGCGUUAUCCGGAAUUAUUGGGUGUAAAGGGUGCGUAGACGGAGAAACAAGUUGGUUGUGAAAUCCCUCGGCUCAACCGAGGAACUGCAACCAAAACUAUUUCCCUUGAGUGUCGGAGAGGAAAGUGGAAUUCCUAGUGUAGCGGUGAAAUGCGUAGAUAUUAGGAGGAACACCAGUGGCGAAGGCGACUUUCUGGACGAUAACUGGCGUUGAGGCACGAAAGUGUGGGGAGCAAACAGG
rnacentral:rRNA from 1 species